rnacentral:rRNA from 1 species
UACAGAGGAGGCAAGCGUUGUUCGGAAUUACUGGGCGUAAAGCGUGCGCAGGCGGUCUGUUAAGACCGAUGUGAAAUCCCCGGGCUUAACCUGGGAACUGCAUUGGUGACUGGCAGGCUUUGAGUGUGGCAGAGGGAGGUAGAAUUCCACGUGUAGCAGUGAAAUGCGUAGAGAUGUGGAGGAAUACCGAUGGCGAAGGCAGCCUCCUGGGCCAACACUGACGCUCAUGCACGAAAGCGUGGGGAGCAAACAGG